UACGGAGGGAGCUAGCGUUGUUCGGAAUUACUGGGCGUAAAGCGCACGUAGGCGGCUUUGUAAGUUAGAGGUGAAAGCCCGGGGCUCAACUCCGGAACUGCCUUUAAGACUGCAUCGCUUGAAUCCAGGAGAGGUGAGUGGAAUUCCAGGUGUAGCGGUGAAAUGCGUAGAUAUCUGGAGGAAUACCGGUGGCGAAGGCGGCAUCCUGGACCAUUACUGACGCUGAGGCGCGAAAGCUAGGGGAGCAAACGGG
rnacentral:rRNA from 1 species